UUAACACAACUGAGACCCUCUUCCAGUACUACAGCGGGUGGUCAUCAGUAUUCUUGGAAUUGCACAGGGAAUGAAUGCAAUGAAACAGAUAUCACCUGCGAUUAUAUACGUACAACUGCAAUUAGCAAUACAUCAAUCCAAUACAACGAAUCAUUAACGGAGUACUCGAAAAGGACUAUUAGCGUAUAUAGAGGUAACUUUAGUACCGAUGGAACGCCAGAUGUUGUAUAUGAUUAUUACUUAGGAACACAACUAAGGAAACUUCAUUUCAGGUUGAAUUAUACUACGCCAGAAACGUACAACUGCAGUGUUUUCGUCACGACUGAUGAAGAUAUAACGCGGACAUGGUGGUGUGAUAUGUACAUACGAGGAGGACUUCCAGAAUGUACUUUUCCACCUGUGGAGUGUGAAAAUGCCUUCCUUAAUGCUUGCCCGAACGGAAAAUAUACAAUGAAAUACAGUUGGAACUGCACUGCACCCUAAGCGAAUAUUACAAGUGAUCUCUACAUGUGCGAGAUAAAUUACAUU